AUGGCCGAUCGGUUGGCUAAGCGUGGGUGGCCCAAUUGCGGUCCUUGUCCCUUCGGCAAGGGUGUGAAGGAAUGUGAGUUGCACCUGCUCUUCAAGUGCCGCUAUUCCCUGAGGCUUUGGAGAUUGGUCGUCCAGAGAUUCUGCAUGGACGACAUGGACACAACUUCAUGGCAUUUGAUGGUCUCUGUUGAGGAAUGGUGGGCGAGUACUUGUGACAUCGGCACCACGAACAGGAAGGCCAAGGCAUCUAUUACCAUGCUUGUGUCAUGGGUGAUCUGGAAUGAGAGAAACACAAGAGUAUUCCGGCACAAGAGCGCUCCCCCGCCAAUUCUGCUCAAUGCCAUAGUGGCCGAGGCAAGCCUUUGGGUCUCUGCUGGGGAAAAGAAGUUAGGGUCUUUUAUUUUGUGA
rnacentral:rRNA from 1 species